AGUGUGAAAUUGUAUGUCAGAAGGAUAACAUGUCUGUCGAUGAUACUAAAUUACUGUUUGAAGGGUUUCUGCAGAAAAGAAAGGACACUUUGAAAAUAAGAUGGGUGACCUACUGGUUCAGGCUUCAAAACACUACUUUGUUCUUUUAUACUAAGAAAAAUGGCAGCGCUUCACAUCUAAGAGGCUAUUACUACAUUUAC